rnacentral:rRNA from 1 species
AACGAACGCUGGCGGCAUGCCUAACACAUGCAAGUCGAACGAGACCUUCGGGUCUAGUGGCGCACGGGUGCGUAACGCGUGGGAACCUGCCCUUAGGUUCGGAAUAACUCCCCGAAAGGGGUGCUAAUACCGGAUAAUGUCUUCGGACCAAAGAUUUAUCGCCUUUGGAUGGGCCCGCGUUGGAUUAGCUAGUUGGUAGGGUAAAAGCCUACCAAGGCGACGAUCCAUAGCUGGUCUGAGAGGAUGAUCAGCCACACUGGGACUGAGACACGGCCCAGACUCCUGCGGGAGGCAGGAGUGGGGAAUAGUGGACAAUGGGCGAAAGCCUGAUCCAGCAAUGCCCCGUGAGUGAUGAAGGCCUUAGGGUUGUAAAGCUCUUUUACCCGGGAUGAUAAUGACAGUACCGGGAGAAUAAGCUCCGGCUAACUCCGU